AGUGGAAUAGCUCAGUGGUAGAGCGUUUGCUUAGCAUGCAUGAGGCCCUGGGUUCAAUCCCCAGCACUG
rnacentral:tRNA from 1 species